UCUGUGCUUAGUGGUUCAGUGAGCAGGGAACUAAUUACAGAUAUGUCUUCUGCAGAAGAACUGCAGCAGAAACCCCUAAAUGAGCUACCCUCCUCUUCAGGUGUCUAUAUCGGUACAGCACGGCAUUUUGCAGCCCAUAUUGACUCUGCAAGUCAAGCUCAAAGCUCUACCGGCAGCUUUACCAAUGCUGCACUGGGGCUUUGAACUGGUUACAAAUUGUGACACAAGUGAAGCUGCUGAGCAUUGGUGCCACCUUAGUAAUGCAUUCUUGCAGGUCGUAAUCUGGCUGUAGCAACUUACUCUGGGUGAUGAAGGAUGAUGAUCACUGUCCUGAAUUAACAGUACCAUACCAACGUUCUCUGGAACCCAGUGCUUUUCUAUUUGCCCAAGAUACUGUCAAAAACAGUGGGGGGAACACGAACAACCAAGACAUAAUAGUGAAGGACCAGACCUUCAGCUUUAAUCAAAAUCAUCCGCUAUGCUGGAAGUGCCAGCUGGACUUACGGUAGUAGUAGGCAGAGCAGCUUCAUGCAGAGCAGUUCUUAAGCCCCAAAUUCCUCUACCCUCAACAAAAGCCCUCAGCCUGACCUCAAGACUCUGACUGCACUAGAAUUUGCUAGAAUUUAUGACCCAGCUACAUUAACCAUACUCCUUGGCAAUUUGAACCUAGCCAACAUUUAGAUUCCAACCAGUGCACGUGAACUUGUAAUGACACCCACAAAGAAAAACAGAGCCAGGACCACCAGUUUUUGAUGCACAAAUGAGUAAAACAGGAAAGGAUGUUAGCUAAGUUUCAGUUCCUUCCACCCUCUCCUGCCCUGCAUACAGAAGACAUCCAUUUUCAUUUUUAUUGCCUUCAAACUCUCUCCAGUAAAAUAGCCUGGAAAAAAUUCAGCAAGCAUUGCCAGAUUAGAAUUUCCAAGCAUUGAAAUACCAAAAUCCACUUGUAUGUUGUGAAAGAAUUAUCCUCCCUAUAAAUUGUUCAGGAAAGGCCGAGCAUAGACAUGCUGUAUAUUUAGCUGGCAAAGUGACGUAUCGGAGUGUAUCAGUCUCACUUCAGUUGAUGAAGUUCUCAGUAGUAGUCAUGCUCUUGCCAAAGAAAGCUGUUUUGCAGACAAGUCUAGAAUAUCAACACUGAAUUAAAACCAUGUGUUUUAAAUCAGACCCUGAAUCUAGCAUGAUUGCUCAACUGAAAUUAUACACAAUUAAAAAUAUAAAUGCUAAUACAGAACCUGCAACAAAAACAUGCAUGCUGCUACAUUAGGACUCUAAUAUUAAAGUUGCAAUGUCUUCUACUACACACAGUAAAAUUUAAACCAGGGAAAAAAGUGGAAGAAAUGUGGAGCACUUAUUUUAAGGAAGGUUUAAAUAACAAGAACAUGGUGUCCUGGAGAACUGAAUGGUUCAGGCAUAACCAAGUUCACAAAUGAAGACUGAACCAUGAUGACAACACAUUUGUGUAUAUUUGCCACAGAGCACAUGUAAAACAGGACAAUUGAGCUCAACUCUAAUUAAUGGUUAAGUGGCAUUUACAGAAUAUGUAUGUAACCUUUCCUGUUUUGAUAUAGGUCAACUAGCCCCAAAAGUUCAAAAUCUACAACAGCUAUGGUGCGUACAUGCUUAAAAAAAAUAAAUUCCUGCAGUCUCACUGCAGCUGAAGUUUUUCAUGUGCGCACAGGCUGUACUCAAGAGCCACUAUGAAAUUAGAUGGACAGCUUAUGAUUGUGCUGUUUAACAAAUGCCAUGCUUAAGGAAGGGGAAAAAAACCCCAACAAACCAAAAGCUGAGAAUAUUAGGAGUAAUUGUUCCACUGUUUCAUUUUUCUAAAAAAUACUCGUUCUCUUGAUUCAGAAAUUAAGACAUUCUGUUCAAGUUCAAAUCAGUUCUUGGGUUCAGCUGUUAGACCCAGAUCUGUACUUCAGGAAGCCCAAACUCUGCAUCUACUGAAAACACUGGGAAAGAUGAGCACCCUCCCCUUAUUUCAUAAUUUAAGCUUGCAUGGUGGGGUUUGGUAUAUUCUUAAGGAUUUAAAGAGAAUGGCCACCCUCAUUGAAAAAUACUCAUGCCUUUUUGCUUUUUAGUUGCUGAAGUAACCAUCCUGUUCAAAGCACACUCAGCUACAAUGGAGCUCAGUAUCAAAAUAAUGCUCUUCUGACACAAAUCAAACAAUGCUUAUUCAUUUGCAGAGAACGUAUGUAUCUACAAAAUAGCUGAAAUACUAUUGAAUACAAAAUUGAAAUAUUUUGAAUACAAAAAAGCUGAAGUGUUUCUUCUUUGCCAGAUCACCUCCCUCUAUUAUAUUUUGCUGCUCUUAUUUGAACUACCUCAACAUUUGUUGUCCUUCCCUACUGUUCAAAAUGCUCUGAGUCAAGGCCUCACAAGUACCAUCCUAAAAAGAGCAGCACUCCCCUGCUGGCAUGAAAUGAAACACAGUUGUAUCUUUAAGCUUUGUUUUGGUUUUGUUGUAAUAAAUUCCAAGGCUACAUUUCACUUCUGAAAGUCCAAAUUCAACAUAAAUUUUUCCAACUACCAGUAUCAUAGUACUUGUAGAUAAUUUUCCCUUCCUAACAUACACAAGGAUCCCUUUAACUUCAGACACAAAUUGUGGUGGAACAGUACUCAGCUCUUAUGCUUACUGCCUGUGGUUUUUAACAAGACUCCCCUCAGUAGUUUCUCUCCAGGUGUAUCAGCAUGUAUUUUUUCAUGCUCUUUAACCCUUGGUUUGAUUUGUUCUGCCUUUUAAGAUAAUCUCCUGUUUUAUUAAUCUAUCUUCUCUUAGGUACCUGAAAAAACUCCAGGGUUUGUACCUUAUGUUUUCCACAUGACUAAAAAAAGCUAACAAAAAUUAGUCCUGGAACUACAGUAUUUUGGAAGAGGAUCAAGGUUUGUCUUUCAAUUUGCCCAUAGUAUAAUACCCAAAUAUCACAUCAACCAGUUCUAAGUUAAGACUUUACAAAAAUUAUUAUAAAUGUGUAAUUCUAGUAGCACAAGAGCAUUUCAGCCCUAAACUGUAAUGCCAGCAUACUGUAUAUGACAGGAAAAUAACCUUUAAAAUUACAACAUCCAUAAAAAGGCUUAGGAGCUCCUUUCAAAACUGUGUUAUAGCAAUAUGUAUAAAAAAUACCAGCAUACAUUCAUGCUCCUCCCAAAAAUAUACGCUCUGUAUCUACAAAAAAGAAAAAAAAAAACCCUGUUGUCUUCUUUGGUUGGAAGCCUAUGUACAAAGGAGAAAAAUUAUUUAAGCAGUGAAAAGUGCUAAAUGUUCAGGUCUGGAGCUGGAAUUCACCACAAAUACAGAAAGGCACCGUUCCUCUUGUACCUUCUUCCAACAAUCAUGGUACCAUCA